rnacentral:rRNA from 1 species
UCAGGAUGUUGGCUUAGAAGCAGCCAUCAUUUAAAGAAAGCGUAAUAGCUCACUGAUCGAGUCGUCCUGCGCGGAAGAUGUAACGGGGGAGUAUCGUGACAAGAAAUACCAGUACAGGGCCCUAUGGGUACUGUGAUUGGAAUGAAUACAAUUUAAAAACCUUAAUGAGGAACGAUUGGAGGGCAAGUCUGGUGCCAGCAGCCGCGGUAAUUCCAGCUCCAAUAGUGUAUAUUAAAGUUGCUGCAGUUAAAAAGCUCGUAGUUGGAUUUCGGAUAAUAAAAAUUUAAUAUCCAUCUUUAAGAUGUGAUUUAAUUUUUAUUUCCUUCCUUUUGAAUACACUCCCUAAACUAUUUUAGGGAAUCAAGUGUUUCAAAUCGUUUACUGUGAAGAAAUUAGAGUGUUCAAAGCAGGCGUAACCUAGCCUUUGAAUAUAUUAGCAUGGGAUAAUGAAAUAGGACUUUAGUCCUACUUUCGUUGGUUUCUAGGGCUGAAGUAAUGAUUAAUAGGGAUAGUUGGGGUCACUAGUAUUUAAUUGUCAGAGGUGAAAUUCUAAGAUUUAUUAAAGACUAACUACUGCGAAAGCAUUUGACAAGGAUGUUUUCAUUAAUCAAGAACGAAAGUUGGGGGAUCGAAGAUGAUCAGAUACCGUCGUAGUCUCAACCAUAAACUAUGCCGACCAAGGAUCCGGGGUUGUUAAAAUGGAUGACUCUCCGGGCACUUAUAGAGAAAUCAUAAGUAUUUGGGCUCCGGGGGGAGUAUGGUCGCAAGGCUGAAACUUAAAGGAAUUGACGGAAGGGCACCACAAGGAGUGGAACCUGCGGUUUAAUUUGACUCAACACGGGGAAACUUACCAGGUCCAGACACAGUGAGGAUUGACAGAUUGAGAGUUCUUUCUUGAUUCUGUGAGUGGUGGUGCAUGGCCGUUUCUAGUUGGUGGAGUGAUUUGUCUGGUUAAUUCCGUUAACGAACGAGACCUUAACCUAUUAAAUAGUUGUUUGAACUUGAUUUUUUAAAUCAAAUGUUCAAUUAACUUCUUAGAGGGACUCUUCACUGAGAGAGUGAAUGGAAGUUUGAGGCAAAAACAGGUCUGUGAUGCCCUUAGAUGUUCUGGGCCACACGCGCGUUACACUGACAUAUUCAACGAGCAUUAUCCUGGUCCGUCGGGAUUGGGUAAUCUUUUAAAUGUAUGUCGUGCUGGGGAUAGAUCAUUGUAAUUAUUGGUCUUGAACGAGGAAUUCCUAGUAAGUGCGAGUCAUCAACUCGCGCUGAUUACGUCCCUGCCCUUUGUACACACCACCCCUAUCGUGACUGGGAAACAGAUCGGAAGAGCACACGUCUG